AUUACCAUAAGGGAUCUGGUGUCAGCAGACCAAUUCAUUCCACUGUGGGGCUGGCCAUGACGUCACAAUCACAGGAGCAUGACGUCACUGGUGUGUCAGCUCCAGGAAGUUCCUGCCUAACUCAGACACACACAAGCCCAGGGAAGCGCUGCAGAGAGACCCUCAGGGAAGGAGUUCCACACCUGGGGCUUGACAAAAGACGUGGGUUUGCAGGGGGGAUUUGACGCAUGGGCAGUAAGAGCCUCUUCCUAGCACAGGAAAUUGGAAAUCAGUACACUCCCAGUAGUGUCUGUGCAGACCCAAGGAGAUGGGGGAGCAGUGAGAAUAACAAUGCCAAAAGCACCGGGAGAGGGGUAGGGUGUUUGAGUGAGAUGCCUCCGCAGCAGCUGGCCCUUCACGAGUGUGAUGAACUAGGAAUGUUCUUAAUGUUUUCUCUGAAUACUGUGUUGGUGCCUCAGUGUCCCCAUGGCAGUUCUUAAGUAUCUGGCAGAGCAAAGGGCCAGUGCACCUAAAUGCCUGGCACUCUGUCUCCUAGCAACUGAUGGCCUGGGCCCCUCCCCUGCAAAGGUGCCAGCUGAAGGUGUUGGAGACAAAGAGAUCAGGUGACCUCCUGGCCCGGGAAAGGGGCUGAGGAGAGAGGAGGGGCUGGGAGGGGUUGUUAGUCUGGAGCUGGCUGGGGUCGAGGGUGGAGGGCAGACCUGGGGGUCUGGCUCACUGCCCCCCAGAAUGGACCCGGCCGAGGGGUCCAGUUCGCUGUAUCUACAAGCUCUGUUUUAGACCCUGUUCCUGUCAUCGAAUAAACCUCUGUGUUACUGG